AUAUAAAGAACUCGGCAAAUAUAAUGUUCGCCUGUUUAUCAAAAACAUGUCCUUUUGAGAUUUAUUUAAGGUCUAAUCUGCCCACUGAUAUAAUUGAAGGGCCGCGGUAUUUUAACCGUGCAAAGGUAGCAUAAUCAUUAGUUUUUUAAUUGAAGGCUUGUAUGAAUGAUUGGACGAGAUAUUAGCUGUUUCAUAUAAAAUUUGAUAGAAUUUUAUUUUUUAGUUAAAAAGCUAAAAUUGAAAUAAAAGACGAGAAGACCCUAUAGAUCUUGAUAAUUUAUAUAUUUUAUUUAUAUAGAAACUUUAAAGUAUUAUAUUUAUAAUUAUUUUGUUGGGGUGACAAUAAAAUUUAAUAAACUUUUAUAUAAAUUUUACAUUAAUUAAUGAAUAAUUGAUCCAUUAUUAGUGAUUAAUAAAUUAAGUUACCUUAGGGAUAACAGCGUAAUUUUUUUAGAGAGUUCAUAUCGAUAAAAGAGAUUGCGACCUCGAUGUUGGAUUAAGAGAUAAAGUUGGGUGUAGAAGUUCAAAUAUUUAGGUCUGUUCGACCUUUAAUUUCUUACAUGAUCUGAGUUCAAACCGGCGUGAGCCAGGUUGGUUUCUAUCUUUAUUUAAUUAUAACAUUUUAGUACGAAAGGACCAAAUGUU
rnacentral:rRNA from 1 species